AGUUCCACUGUUGGAUGGCCCUGACCACAUCACUGCAUCAUGGAUAGCAACCUCAUGGAAACUGUCGUGGAGUCUUAAUUUCAAUUAUUUUAUUUCCUACAUAUGGUUACACAAGCAAGAUGACUUGAAUUCAUAUCUCCAGAACCAACAGAAGUGUUGAGUGAAUGUGGGGGACUCACCUUCAUUCCAGGCAGCUUCACGUGGUAGAGACAUGACUCCUGGAGAAUCUCGUUAACAUGACUAAACAUUCUGAAAAGAUGUCCUGUACCCUGAUUUGUGAUGAACUGCAUCAGCUGUGCUAUGGUCUCUUUGCAGCUCAACCCACGUUCUUCCCUCGGCUGCUUCACAUAAUCCCUACAAAACCUUUGGAAACUCCUGUUAUCUUAUGAAAACAUUCUGUAGUUGCAGCCACAGAAAUGGGGCAAUUUGUAUGGUUUCAUCAUACAAAGCCAUUUAAUUUGUCCUAGUUUUCAAAUGACACAACCUAUAGAAUGUGUUUUCUAACAUGCAACAUUCUAUAGAAACCAUGCUUCGGUUUAUUUCAGUGAGAAAUGGGAUAGUAAAAGAAACUACCAUUCUCAAAACCACACAGGCAAGUCUACAAGCAAGUUUCCGAGUUUUACAGAUCCCUGUUCUUGACAAUUUGAAAGCAGGUUUGGAGAAAGGCAACACAGAAUUAGAUAGGCAUGUCUUGGUUCCCUGCUGAAAGAGCUGCAGGGAGUGACAGACCUUCAGGAGGUGGAGCCUCGCUGAGGACAUAGGGUAUAUGGGGAGGGUCUAAAGUUUCUAGCUGAGCUUUCCUGCCUGUGCUCUACUUCCUGACUGCAAUAAAACUAAGUAAGCCACAUUUUUGUUCUAUGCCUUUCCCACCACAACCAAGAGUUUCUCUUCCUAAAGCACAAGUCAAAAUAAAUCCCUUAAAUUGUA